GGGGCAAAAUCCAGACAGGCAGCUGCCUAGUAGUUCUCCUUAGUAAUAGUGGCUCUUCUAAAUGCUUAUCAAAGCGCUGGCCUCAGACCACAAGCAAGCUCUGCAAAUGACUUUUGCCAAGCGAUCCCAGGCGUCUGCUCCCAGCAUUUGGUUUGCAGGCUCUUGGAAACAACUCAGCUCACUGUUUUUGCAGCCAGUUUCUAAGUCCCGGAUGACAUGGUUAAACGGGUUUCUGGGGCUGGUGUGCUGGCUGUUUAUUAGCCACGCUGGAGAACAGCCGUUCAGGAAGAAGGUUCGCUCUCUAAUGCGUGGAAUCCUGAAGAUUUCUGAAGUUUCCCAGAAACCAUCAAGAAGGGAGCGAGAGAUGAACUAAUGAACCCCUCUGAGGCUUAUCCCCUCCCUCAACUGGAAGCAGCCCACUUCCCUUUCCCUAUCUAUUCAAGAGCUCUGAGCUCACUUUUAUUUGAGAAAGAAUAACUGGAAUAUAAUUCAAGACCCAAAAGGACAUGCAAGGAAUGCACUCACUAAGAAGUGGAUAUUAACAAAACAAUAACAACAACAGAAAGAA